rnacentral:miRNA from 13 species
AGUGUUGUCGACUAGAGGACC